AUUGAACGCUGGCGGCAUGCCUUACACAUGCAAGUCGCACGGUAACAGGUCUUCGGAUGCUGACGAGUGGCGAACGGGUGAGUAAUACAUCGGAACGUGCCUAGUAGUGGGGGAUAACUACUCGAAAGAGUGGCUAAUACCGCAUGAGAUCUACGGAUGAAAGCAGGGGAUCGCAAGAACUUGUGCUGCCAGAGCGGCCGAUGGCAGAUUAGGUAGUUGGUGGGAUAAAAGCUUACCAAGCCGACGAUCUGUAGCUGGUCUGAGAGGACGAUCAGCCACACUGGGACUGAGACACGGCCCAGACUCCUACGGGAGGAAGCAGUGGGGAAUUGUGGACAAUGGGCGCAAGCCUGAUCCAGCAAUGCCGCGUGCAGGAUGAAGGCCUUCGGGUUGUAAACUGCUUUUGUACGGAACGAAAAGCCCUGGGUUAAUACCCUGGGGUCAUGACGGUACCGUAAGAAUAAGCACCGGCUAACUACGUGCCAGCCGCCGCAGUAA
rnacentral:rRNA from 1 species